rnacentral:lncRNA from 1 species
UUCCCUUCCUCUAGGGGGCACCCUGGGACUGUGCAGCUUGCCCAAGGCUACCCAGGCUGGCCCUUCUCCCUGGAGAUGCCCAGUGGGGGAUUUGAACUCCCAACCACAGGCUCUGUAGCUUGAACCCUGAACCACUGAGCUAUCCAGCCAAUGUGGUUCUGUUUGGUGGCUCUCAAUAUGCUUCCUAACUUGCUACUGGCAAGAACGAGGGACUUUCCUUCUUCGUUCACUAGGCCCGGCAGUCCUUCUCUCCUGAACUUCGUCUCUCGGUCUCCGUCCCCACAGGUCCCCCCAAUGGAGAACUACACCAUGGCGGGACGGACGUACCGCUACUAUGGAGACGAUCCUCCGCUGUACCCCUUUGGCUACGGGCUCUCCUACACCCUUUUCCGAUACAGCGACCUGGUGCUGGGAGCCGAGGUGGUGCCCGUUUGUGGGAACCUCAGCCUCUCGGUGGUGGUGGAGAACGUUGGCCCCCGAGACGGCGAGGAGGUGGUGCAGCUCUACCUCCGGUGGGGAGAGGCCUCCGUGCCCGUGCCCCGCUGGCAGCUGGUCGGCUUCCGUCGGGUGAUGGUACCCCAAGGCCAGGCGACCAAGGUGCCCUUCAUGCUCUCCUUCCGCCAGAGAGCCGUCUGGGCCGGGGAGUGGCGCCUGGAGCCCGGCUCUUUCACCCUGUUUGCCGGCGGGCAGCAGCCCUUCCAGCAAACCCGUGCCCCUUCCAACGUCCUGCGAGCAGAUUUCAGCGUCCUCGGAAGCGCCCUCAAGAGAAGCCAGUGCUAAUGAAGAGGACUCCAGGAGAGCACAGCAAACUGCUGGGCCAAGGGAGAUCUUGAGAAUUAACUUCUGCCUUAAGCAAAACCUGAUCAGUAAACCCUGUGCACCAUUGGAAAGCUUGUGAAUUGUGCGAGAGUUUCAUCUUCCCCUGAACACUCAUCACCCUUGGUUUUGUCAACUGCAGUGGCUGGAACUGAUUGCGGUGGAAAUGUGAUAAGACAGGCAAAGAAGCUUCUAGGGAGAAAUAAAGAUUGUCCUCCUUUAAAAAAAAGGAACCA